CACUAUGUCUCAUCUGAAACGUAAGAAGCUUUAUUUGAUAAAAUCUUGUUAUCCUGAUUUAACAGUAUGGUAUUUUUUGUGAAUAAUAUGUACUCUAUUAUGUUUAGAAUACUGGACGUAAACUUAGGAAGUGAUGAUCCUUCGUCUCAAGGACACACUGAUCAAAGUAGCGUAAACAAACCGGCAGAGAGCAUAAAAAAAGCCCUUUAAUGUUUUAUUCGAGA